rnacentral:tRNA from 1 species
GGGGGUAUGGCUCAGUGGUAGAGCACUUGCCUGGCUUGCACAAAGAAGGACCUAGGUUUCAUCCCCAGUACCCCCC